rnacentral:rRNA from 1 species
UAGGGAAUCUUUCACAAUGGACGAAAGUCUGAUGGAGCAACGCCGCGUGAGUGAAGAAGGGUUUCGGCUCGUAAAACUCUGUUGUUAAAGAAGAACAUAUCUGAGAGUAACUGUUCAGGUAUUGACGGUAUUUAACCAGAAAGCCACGGCUAACUACGUGCCAG